rnacentral:miRNA from 1 species
UUUUUAGAAUAAGAAUGUUCUAUGUCAUAGUUGGGACAUACUUAUACUAAAA